rnacentral:tRNA from 1 species
UUGGAUCACCUCCUAACAGGGAGACAACACAAUGAUUUUGAUGUCUGAGUAAUUUAUUCUUAGGCCGAAAUCCUGUCACCUUAGGUCGAUCGGUACCUCAGCGUUGAAUUUAAUGAAUGGUGAGAAAUCAUCAUGAGAUUAAAGGAGAUGAUCAGUUCCUAAACUUUGUCUAGGUCACACCCCGCAAGGGAAGAGUCCCCUGGGCCAUUAGCUCAGGUGGUUAGAGCGCACCCCUGAUAAGGGUGAGGUCCCUGGUUCAAGUCCAGGAUGGCCCAUUCGGUGUUGGGGGUUUAGCUCAGUUGGUAGAGCGCCUGCUUUGCAAGCAGGAUGUCAGGAGUUCGAGUCUCCUAACCUCCACUGACCGAACUCAAUCUCCAUUGUCCGGUAACUCGGAGGAUGAACUCGAGGGGAUGUGAUUUAGAUGUGUCCACUAGAUAGGACCCUAGCUUCCUGUCAAAGGAAACGAGUAAGAACUCGAUUCAUUGAUAAGAUGCUGGGCUCAAAUUAAUCGAAAGAUUAAUCUGAUGUCUAGUAGAACCUUGACAACUGCAUAGGUAAGUCUGGAAAAACAAAGCAUCUUACAGAUGCAUUGUUUUGAAUCUGAUCUUCUGAAAGGAAGAUUAGUUUUAGAACAAUGAAAAUUCUUUUGAGCAAGAGCCGAGACUCUUAGAUGUUCUUUGAUUCGUGUCGAGCGAAUCAGAGUUUGAUUUUGUUUUUAUGAGCAACGAAAGUUGCUGGUGAAACCAGAAGAAUCUGCUUUCAACCGCAGUAAGCGUUUAAGAGGUUAAUUGGUCAAGCUACAAAGGGCUCACGGCGGAUACCUUGGCACACAGAGGCGAUGAAAGA